AAACUUUCAACAACGGAUCUCUUGGUUCUCGCAUCGAUGAAGAACGCAGCGAAUUGCGAUAAGUAAUAUGAAUUGCAGAUUUUCGUGAAUCAUCGAAUCUUUGAACGCACAUUGCGCCCUUUGGUAUUCCAAAGGGCAUGCCUGUUUGAGCGUCAUUUCUCUCU
rnacentral:rRNA from 1 species